UUUAGUGUGGCAGAUUAGUGCUUUGAAUUUAAAAUUCAAAUAUAAAUUUUAUUUUUCUAAAA
rnacentral:tRNA from 1 species